rnacentral:rRNA from 1 species
GUAGGGUGCGAGCGUUAAUCGGAAUUACUGGGCGUAAAGCGUGCGCAGGCGGUUGGGUAAGUCAGAUGUGAAAUCCCCGGGCUUAACCUGGGAACUGCAUUUGAGACUGCCUGGCUGGAGUUUGGCAGAGGGGGGUGGAAUUCCACGUGUAGCAGUGAAAUGCGUAGAGAUGUGGAGGAACACCGAUGGCGAAGGCAGCCCCCUGGGCCAAUACUGACGCUCAUGCACGAAAGCGUGGGGAGCAAAC